AGAAGCUAAUAGAGUCAGAAACUUUGAAACUUUCCUUUGUAUAUUACAUUAAUCCAUAUAAGAAAAUCUCUUUUAAUGAGGAGUGAUGUAGUUACAAACUCUCCAGAGCCAUAAUUAGAGCAAACUAAUUGAAGUUGUGUUUUGACACACUUUCUAAAUUCACGGGUGCUGGAUGACAUAUUCACAACACUGUUGCUGCACAACCAUGGCGAUGGCAAAAUCAUUAGGCUAAUAACACUUAUUUGCAUUCUUAUCAUGCCAGCAGCUCUCCUUAAAUACUGUUUCAACCACUGCUCGUUUACUGUAAGUUUCCACUGAAAGAUAUUAACUGUAAUUAUUAGUCCUUUAGUGGAAUUUUUAAUGCUAAAGA
rnacentral:sRNA from 1 species